GGGGCGGUUUGAGAGCUCGUCGGAGAGGCGAUUUCCGGCGGCUGCUGCGGCGGCGUACGGUGGAGGUGAUCGACACCACCAACCCAGAUAGGAAGCCUGCUAUCUUGUGAACAUAACCCAAGAAGAAUCGGAGCCAUCGGAGGUGCGGUGAAGGCUGGGCGACGCCGCGAAGUUGGUUCGUCAAUAGUGAAAUCAGCAACUUCAACCGGCGGUUUGAGCCACUUACACUUCGAAUUGGACCUCGAGGUACUGUUGGAGUUUGAGUUGCUCGUUGAGGUUUGAGAUUGAGGAUUCGUUAAGUUGUUGAAGACGCAGCUUGGACGAAAGGGGAAAAUCCUGCAGGUGGUAGAGACGGUGAGCAGGAGAAUUAAGGUGAGGAGCAGGAGGCUCAUUGGUGGUUCCACAGACUGUAAAGUGUGGUGUGAGAGUGUUGGUGAGUGUUAGACUUCCGCUGUGUGAAAUAAGCUCUGAGGAGCAUAUUAUGUAAAAUGAUGAUUGUUCAUUUAUUAUGUGAGUUCGUAAUGUAAUAUUUGACUCAGAAGAGUUGAGUCAUUAUUGACAUUGUGGUUCGGAACAGUGGUGUUGUAUCAAGAAAGAAAAGUUUAAAUUUCUAGGUACUUUUGUUGA